AUGAUUGUUACUUUAUGGGCGAUUUGGAGUGCAAGACGGAAAGCUAUACAUGAGGAUAUAUACCAGACUCCAUUUGCCACUGACAACUUCAUCAAAGCUUACUUAUCAGACAUAGAGUUUUUGAAGAAGAAGGAGGAAGCACAUGGGAUAGCAGUACCACAACCCCGUACGUGGAUUCCACCACCAACAGAUUACUACAAACUCAAUGUGGACGCGGCCGUGUCACGCCCAGGUACAGGAGGUUCGACUGCGGCUGUGUGCAGAGAUGAACAUGGGAAUUUUAUGGGGAGCUCCGCACUUGUUGUGCAAGGAGUAACAGAUCCACCGUCUCUAGAAGCAAUGGCGUGUCGAGAAGCUUUGGCACUAGCAGAAGAUUUGGGAAUCCAAAACUUUGUGGUGGCUUCCGACUGUCAGCAUGUGGUCUCAGAUAUCAACAAAAGAACCAGGGGGGCCUAUGGAGCAAUUGUCAGUGAGAUGAAUCUUAGAUCAUCUUCUUUUCUUUGCACUUUUGUUUUUGAGAGUCGUGUUGUCAAUGUAGAAGUAUAUCGUCUAGCCAAGUUUUCUUUUUCGAGAGGCCCGGGACGUCAUGUUUGGUUUGGUGUACCCCAUGACCUCAGAUGUAUCCCACAACAUGUGGACUUUCAUGAAUAA
rnacentral:rRNA from 1 species